rnacentral:misc_RNA from 1 species
GUUCAGCUUUGAGGAGGGCGAAUUGCCGGGCUAAAGGCGGAGCUCCCGGGUUCAAAGUCGCAAUACUUGGCGCUGCCGGUGGCAUUGGCCAGCCCCUUGCGAUGUUGAUGAAGAUGAAUCCUCUGGUUUCUGUUCUACAUCUAUAUGAUGUAGUCAAUGCCCCUGGUGUCACCGCUGAUAUUAGCCACAUGGACACGGGUGCUGUGGUGCGUGGAUUCUUGGGGCAGCAGCAGCUGGAGGCU